rnacentral:rRNA from 1 species
GACGAACGCUGGCGGCGUGCCUAAUACAUGCAAGUCGAACGCAGUGGGGACGGGUGAGUAACACGUGGGUAACCUCCCAUCAGAGGGGAUAACACUUGGAAACAGGUGCUAAACCGAUACUGAUGGAUGGACCCGCGGUGCAUUAGCUAGUUGGUGAGGUAACGGCUCACCAAGGCCAAGAUGCAUAGCCCGCCUGAGCGGGGGAUCGGCCACACUUGGACUGAGACACGGUCCAGACUCCUACGGGAGGCAGCAGUAGGGAAUAUUGCACAAUGGGCGCAAGCCUGAUGCAGCCAUGCCGCGUGUGUGAAGAAGGCCUUCGGGUUGUAAAGCAUUUUCAGCGGGGAGGCGUUACCCGCAGAAGAAGCACCGGCUAACUCCGUGCCAGCAGCCGCGGUAAUAC